AUGGUUCUGUUCAUGCUUCGAUGUCUCAACGUUCUCAGCACGUUCGAUUCAACUUUGCCAUUCACGGCGUCAUCACCUCGUUUCUCUUCUUCAAAGUGCCAUGAAUUCACCGCCUCCCUCUCCAAUCUCGAUCAUGCAUCAUUGUGUAUUCAUCAUCGCCAUUCAUCACCUUUAAGCUUGCUUCCUUUUGACUCUCAUCUCUCCGCCAUGGAUCAACACCUCUCACGUGUCAGCUCGAUUCAAACAGGAAGUAUUAAAAAAAAUUCACAGAUUCAGAGAAGCAGAACUAGGAAUCAAAGUUACAUAAGUAAAAAUACGAAGCCAGCAGUAUCAGGAGUAUGCUAG